UGUCUGCAAGGAGGGACACAACGCUGCAGCUAUGGACAGGAGAUGGAGCGAGGGCAGGGAGUGGGAAGGGACCCAGGGGGAGCAGAAGGAAAUAUGAGGUCUGGCCAUGGUCUGAGGCAUGAGAAACUGAGCUGCAAAUGGCCUUCCUGCCAACAGCUCUGAGUGUGGGACCUGGAAAUGGCAGGUGCACGUCUUAAUUACCAGCAAGGCUCUGGAGCUCUUUGCUGAGGGUGAGUGGCCCUGAGUGCAUGGAAUAUCUGCACACACACCCCAAAACUAUCUGAGGAUGUGUCUGAGCAUUGAUGAGCUCACACGUCUCCUCUCUCCCAGCCACGUGCUGUGUUUUCUCUGCUGUGUCCCAUUACAGUCUGACAGCGACAGCUGGGAGGAAAUGCAGGAUCUGUCUGGGAGGCAUGAAAGCAGAAUGAGUGCUCUGGAGAUGGACUCUCUGAGAUGCUCGGAGGACAUUCCCCCCCAUCCUCUCACUGCUCCCAGAACAGCACACACCAAUGGACUGCUGUGAUGUGGAGGAGCUGGGCCACGAACCAAAGGUGGUGAAUGCCACCCAGUUUGCUCACAGCCACACAAGGUCGGUAUGAUGAGGAUGGGCUGUAUUUCCCUGCAUCAAGGAGUAACACUUCUCUUACUUUAUAACCAUUGCACAGUGCUGCCCUUCUGGGGCUGAGGUCAACCCCAACAGCAGGAGAUGUGUGCACGUCUCCAGUAACACUUGUUGGGUUUAUAGUCAGCCCUGGAUGCCUGAAUGUGGCUGAAAAUACACCAGCCGGAGCCUUGGUGCCAACUGACAGCUGACCUCACUCCUGGUGAGCAUUCCCUUGGGGAGAGAGAGAAUAAGGGAGCAUGGGAUGCCUCAGGGAAGGUCAGUGCUGCUCUCUUAGCAGAGAAAUGGUGAUAUAUUGCUGCCCUCCCUCUGCAAACAGCACCUGGUGCACCUGGUAUGCAACAAUACCCCAUGGAUCACCCCAGUGCUGCUCCCCUCCCAAGGCAGCUCCUCACCAUCCCCAUCCUCACGUGCUGACCAGGGACCAGCUAAUUUUAGCACUGAGCGGUCAGCAGACGGAAUGGGAGCGGGAAGGGUUGUGAGUCAUGGCUGAUGAAUGUGCUGGAACACAUGGAGGGCGCAGAGGGGCUGGGAGGUGACAGACAAAGCAGAGGGGCUGCAGCCGGGCACCUCGCCUGCUCCCAGUGCAGCUGUGUCACUAAAUCCCUUCAUGGGCGCCUUGCCGGGGUAUUUUUAGGAGAAGCUCCCAGUGUGGUUUGAGGAGGGCUUUGGAAAGAGAAGAAUUAACCUAAUGGGGAGCAGAGAGCAGAAAAAGCUUCACAUGGGGAAAAGGGAACGCAGCGCACUGCUGAAUCCCUGCUGGGAUGUGUGACCUUGGGGGGGCACAGCACAAAAAGCACCGAAGUUUCUGUCCUGCUCUAUGUCAGAGCAUGGGGGAGGUGGGAGUGUGCGGCAGAGGUGAAAGAGGAGCAGGCAGCCUCGGGGAGGUGGGAGGCAGUUGGCAGAGCUGCGGCCGAUGCCUGGAGCCUGCGGAGCAGAACAGGGUGCGGGUAGGAGAGAAACAGCCUCUAUGUGGGGAGAGACAGCAGCUACAGUUGGGAGAUAACACAGUAAUAUCCACAUCUGAGAGUCUCUCCUUCGCUACUACAGAGCAGCAGCAGCUACACAUAAAUCAGAGGUGUCAAAUCAGUGCAGCAGUGAUAUGAGAAGAGAAUGUAGCGCGGUGUUUGACAGAAGUACAAAGCCAGGAAGACGAGUUCCCUGCUCCCAGAGCUGAAAGAAGAAUUGGCAACUAAAACUAAUCCGUGAGCUCUUUUCCCCACUCCCAGGAGGUGUGUGAUGAGAUCAUCCCUUCCCCAGAUCUCAUCCCUGCUCCGAGGUGCUCCUCCAGCUGUGGAUCCAGCUGUGCCCGUGGAGCUGAGCACAGUGAUUUCUGUUUCCCUGCUGGAUGUGGAGGGUCAGCGCCUCCCUCAGGGCCAUGGGCUGCCAGACCCGAAGGGUUGGUGCCUUUUGCUCUGUUUAAUGUCAGCAUCCCCAUGUUGUGAUGGGGCCGUAACUAAGAUGAAGAUGUGGUGGUUUAUAGUGAGGAAUGGCUGCUUCACCACCAAUAGUGCUUUGCAUGUGCCUUGUUUCCCUUCCACAAGGACCCUCUGUGGGGCCUUUCAGCAGGAGUGGGUCGGGGCCAUCUCUGUGCAGGGAGCUGUGAGCGGCAAAGAUUACCCUUAAUCCUUUCUUAGUGCUGGAAAUUCCUUCUGGCCUCUCAUUAAACGCUCUGCUGAUUGUUAA